rnacentral:lncRNA from 1 species
AUGGCUUAGGUGGUAGUGCCACAACCGAUGAGCCCCCUUCUGGUCCAACGCUGUUGCUGUUGCAUUAGAUUCUCCAGUCACCACAGAUCCUUCCUGCUGCUUCUACUCUUCCGAGACUUUGACCGUCCCCUUGACUUGCCUCUUUCUCUUUCUCUUUCUGAUCUCUCCCCCACGGCCAAGCCAUCCUGGGGAGCACCUUCCUUGGUCAACUUCUCCCACUGUUUAUUGGACCGCAGCAUCGAAACCAUGUCUUCAUACUCCAGGGUCUCCUUACCGUAAAGCAGUGUCAUCACCAAUGGAUCAUAGGAAGGG